AUUUAAGAUUAUAAAAAAAAAGAUUUUGUAGUUAAAGGUGAUGCGUCAAGUGACAGUGCAGGCUUGAUAGCAGCUAUAUCGGGUCUAGUUGCAAAAUUAGAGCCUAAAUCUAAGGCACCGAUCAUAUCGCUUCAAAACGAGAGCAAACAAUGUAUUAUACAUCGUAUGGGUCCUGUAGUUGGUGCUGUAUAUAAAGAUAUAUCGACUUGAAAUAAUUACUUGUUACAUACAUGCCUGAAACUCGUUUAUAUCUGAAAUAAGAUGCGUCUAGGAAUAUUCUGUUUAAACUAAAAUUUAAAUUAAAUUAUAAUUUUAAUUAUUAAAAUAAUAUGCUCCGUGCAAAUGGUUUUUCUAUCGGCAAGAUAGAAAAACCAUAUAUGAAAUAAAGUAAUAAUAAAUAAUAAUUAUUAAUAUUAAUAAUAAUAAUAUAAUUAAUAAUAAUAAACCACAGAUUUUAUGAGAAAAAUAAGGAUCGUCGAUCCUUUUCUAUUUUCCCUCUGUAAUGUGUCUAUGUAGAUUGCAGAUAUACCAUAUCUAUAGUCGUGUGUGUAUGUACGUAACAGACACCACACACAUGGAGACAGAAUUUAUUUCUCAACGUUGGUAAUUCUGAAACUAUAGUUUAGUUUACGUUGUCACCGCGCGAGGUCUCUGCUAUUGGAUACCGGAAACCGGACAUCGUAUUUUCGGAUUGUGAAUUCUGCAUAAGAAUCCCCAUUUUCUAUUGUUGCCCAAAGGUGUUCGGGAAUUUCACGGAUCUCAUGUUGAUCUGCGUUGAUCACGCUACUACCCGGUGUCUCCAUCUUGUUUGUUUCUCUAAACGCGCAGAAGAAUAGGACAAAAUUUUGCUCCGCUCCGAGAUUACGUUACUUCGCAAGAAUUCCUUUUUGGUGUUUAUCCGAACACCGUACUCCCUUAGUACGGCGAGAAAGUAGAUAUUAUGUCUCACGGCGGUAGAAACGAGUGUAGAAUAUACGUGGGAAAUUUGCCACCCGACAUCCGUACAAAAGACAUUCAAGAUCUUUUCUACAAGUUUGGUAAAGUUACUUUCGUUGACUUGAAAAAUCGCCGAGGGCCUCCCUUCGCUUUCGUUGAAUUUGACGA